CACGCCUAACCCACGCACACACACAUGUUGGAUCCCAUCUCUCUCGUCUUCCUCGAUCCCCUUUCUCCAUCCGACGCCGCUGCCAGAUUCCGGCGAUCCCCGCCGUUCCCCACCGCCUAGCUCUCCUCCCCGAGGUCACCUCUCCCCGCUCACCAUCUCCACCGACCGGUUUCUCUCCUCGCCCAGGAGAGCCACGCCCAGGCACUAGUGGUGGGGCACCGCGAGGAGGCCCCAGCGGCGUCGAGCUGCUGUUGCUACGGGCACAGCGAUGUCGGCGUGGUCAGGAUGGUCGCAGCCCUUCAAGAUUCUCAACGGCGUCGUCUCGGCGCUGAUGGCGGAGUCGACGGCGAGCAUCGGCGGGUACAUGGCGUCGGGGUACCGGAGGGUGGCCGGCGUGCAGCUCUCCAUCAACCAUCUCAAGCUCACCCGCCUCGGCGACCGCAUCGAGGCCAAGGCGAACCCCAUCCGGUACCUCGACCCCGACGCGUCCUUGGACAAGGACCAGCUGCUGGACGCGGUGCAUUGGAUCCGGUAGGCGGUGGGGCUCGCCUGCGGCCUGCUCUGGGGCGCCGUCCUCCUCGUCGGCGCCUUCUGGAUCGCCCUGUCAGUCCUUCCCUCCCUCCAUCCUCAAAGCCCCAACCUUCUUCUUUCCCUUCAGACAUAGGCAUAGAUUCAGGUUCAUUGUUAACUGAAUUCGUAAGCUCAUCUCACACUGAAUUUGGGACCUCUUUCCCAUCGUGUAGUAUAGUACUAGCAAGUCGGUCACACAUGAAUUAGUAGAUGAGUCUAGCGAUUCUGUUAACUGCAUUAUUUCAGAAACCCGCUUUGUUUUGCCUUUCAUUGAUCUCCGUGACAGGUCAGAGGAGGUGAAGUGAGUGUUAGAUUCGGUGCGAAUUGGAGGUUCGUUAGCCUCGUCUCUGAGCACUCGUCACCAGCUCGGCAACAAGCAUCGCAGUGGUUAUGCACUUUAUCUGGUAUUAGAUGUGACAUGAGGUGUUCAAUCAGCUCUUUGUUUGGCGUGGCCGUCAGCAAACCAAUGCAAUUGCCGCAUAUAUGUAGUGGGAUAUGAACUGCUCUUAGUUUCUCUGUGCUCAUUAUUAGUUCAAUAAAUUGGCAAAUGGCUGCUGAUGUAUGAUUGGCUGGCUUUGUUCAUCUUGCUAGAGUUACUUGGAAAUAUUGACAUUCUCAAACCAAAUAUGAGGUGCCCUUUAUUCCGUCCAUGGGAGUAUAUGUAAGUUGACUGCUUCAAACCCAAUCCGUGCUUGCUGUUUAGUGAAUAAAUAUGCUGGUAGAAUAUUGCAACUUCUUAACAUGAAUAAAUAUUUGAUGGUAAGUUGUGAUGAAGAUUAAAAUUGUAUUCCCCCGUAGAAAAGAAGAUUAACAUUUUAUUACAUACACUAAUCUAUCUAGCACCAAUGUCACGCAGUCAAUUUCCUUUAUCCUUAGCAUUUUUAUGACAUACCAUCUUCUAUUUAGAAUCUUUGGUUGCAAUCAGUUCUUUUUUCCACAAAAAUGAAAUCAGUUUCUUUUACUUUUAGCAUAUGUACUUAACAACUAAGGUGCCAGGUGCCAGUGAAAAAGUAAAUUUAUUUUUAUUUAGUAUUUGGUGGAUCCUCUGUUUUUAUAGGUUUCGACAUUGCUGCCUCCAUAUAGCUUUUUGCUGAUAUACGUUGACGGUUUGAUGUGUCGCUCCUAGUCCGAAUGUUAGUUUUUUUACUGGACCUUCCUUUUUGACUGGACAUUGUUUAUAUAUGUGACUGAUUCGUAAUCCAGCUGAACUUUCUUUUCAUGUACAUGAUGGAGUAUACAUCCAUAUAUUAUUGUACGUGUCGGAUGAUAGACUUGUGCAUUUAAUUAUGAUGCAUGUCUUCGAAUAUACUCCCAUUAUGCAUGUUUUUAGACUUUUUUUAAUAUUAUUGCUGUUAUUACGUGCGUAGUGCCGUGGGGAUGAAAUAACAUGCUCGUGUACUAAUUGACUAUACGCUAGCCUGGCUUGCCAUUGGAAGGUGGCGUAUGGACUAUGGACUCCUUUUUCUUAAGCUGGCCAUGUGAUUCCUUUUGCCUAUAAGCUGGCCGUGCCGUUGGCCGUGUGGACUUUGUAUGCCUUUACGCCGCCAUCAAGUUGAGGUCAACGAAUCACUGCCGUUCAUUUAUCAUAACUUUGUAAUUUUGAAUCUCCUCCUUUUGUUUUCUAUCGUUUUAAUAAUAUUGAAUCUCCUCCAUUCGUUUUCUAUCUUUUUAACAAUAUAAUAGAUUUGAUUUUGGUAGUACCGUUGAAUUUGGUUGCUGCUAUUCAUUUAUGUAUGUGAAGGAAUUGGAUAAUGUGCUCUUUUUUUGUUUGCAAAAUGAAGGACCCUGCAUCCAGGUAGUGGGAAUAGUUAGUCCUUGCUAUCAAUAGUAGUAGCAUUAUUCACUGUGGAGUGUGAGGGAAUUUGAUGAUCAUCUACCUUUGCCUAUCAUCUACUUCUGAUGUUUUCCCUGAAAGUGACACGUGAUCUUCCUUUGUUUUUCUUUAGCUGAUAGUAUGAUAACUGCUUGCUUGGCAGAAGUUAUGGUUGUGAUGUUUCUUAAGUAAAUAAAGAAACUGAGAUUUAGUUCGACUUGGAGCGCCUCUUGUUAUACCACGGUUCCUUCUCUUAGAGCUGUACUUGUACUGCAGGUUUUGGAUUGGGAGGGGAAAAUGCUCUUCUUUCAGUCUCUGUUGAAGUCAAACCCAUCCAUGCAAAAUCUGUACUUAGUAGAAUUAAUGUAGAUGAAUAUAUAUGCCUUGCAGUUUUAUCGUGCAUGCCAUUCAACUAACUUGCUCUUGUCCAUGCAGAUGGAGUAGGAGGACGAGCAACAGCAGCAAAUCAGUCUAAUGAUGACGGGGUGCGGGAGGCAAUGGUGAUCAUGCUGAUGGCAUGAAGAAGGCUGAUGACCACAACCUGGACCAGUUGGCAUUUAGAGAUGGCAAACACAGGCGGCGUGGAGACAGUAACCUGGACCACCCACCUCCCUUGCCUUUUUAAUUUUGGUUGUGGUGGUUGCAUCACCGGCGCGGUCGCAAAUCAGUAUGUAGUGUGCUUGUGGAGUUGGUUCUGGACUGCAGUGUCCAUCCAUUGGUCGCUGUCGGGGCACAGAGCUCACGGGCUGGCGGGGUGCGAUGGUGACGUCAGCGAUGGAGGCGUCGUCGCCGCCGUUCGCCGGCGGCGUGGAGACGCCGGCAUCUGCUCAUCUGCCCGUUCGGUGUCUUCCCUCCUGAUUACUGUGGGCACGUCCGCCUCUGCUUUCCUUUCCUCCCUCUCCUCUCCUCUGCUUUGCUCCGAGCUCGUCGCCCCGCUGUUUGCAGCUCGAAUCGUGACCAUUUUGUGUGAUGCAACAAAUGGAGAAAGGGUUGAUAGUCCUUUUUUUACACUGGAACUUGAGCAUGGUGGAAUUUUCUGUGGCCCAAUCAGUAACCUGGAGUACUGGAAUCCUUCUGUUGAGGUGCUAGACUAUGUUGACUCUGGCACUUUCUCAUAUGCAUUCUUUGAACAACACUUGCUUUGGUUGGGAUAUCUUGUGAGUGAGCACAUCAUUUACUGGUGCAAACCAAAUAAACCAAUCUCAGAUGGUUUGAUCAAAAUUAGCAGUGAUGAGGAUGUGCACCAUAUGAUCAGAGCUUGUGCUGAGCAUAAGAUGCUUGUAGUCAUGGUUGAGCAUAUAGAUUUCAUCAAUAAUUUCAGGUCCGACUUGGUGUGCAGAUUGCCCUUGUCUUUGAUAACAGCAACAUCAACUUUGGAAGUAGCAAGUGCAUCCUCUUCCCAUAGCCUAAUUUCAGUAUUUGUGGAAGAUCCCUUGUCAGAUAUUGCAGCAAAUGGAACAGACCCACAGAGUUUGCUGAUUGAGGGUGCUGAGCACAACAUGCUAACUGAAGAUGGACAAACAGUUAUUGAAGAUGUAGUUGUUUUAGAUUCUGAUUUCAGUGACAGUGACUAUGACAUAGAUGAUGGUGAUGAUGAUCUUUAUGAUGACAACAUUGACUUUGAUGUUGAUGAAGAAGGUGAGCAGGAGGAGGAAGAUGUGGAGCCUGACUAUUUGCUUGAGGAUGAAGAUCUAAACCUAUCAACUGAGCAAGCAGAUGAACUUAGGAUGGUAUUUGCUGAUGUGGUUGAGCUAAUACAUGCACUGACUGCAUAUUCAGUUAGAAACAGAGUGCAGAUCAAGAAGAUAAAGAAUGACAAGAGGAGACUUGAGGCAGUUUGUGAAAAUGGUUGCGCAUGGUACCUGUUUGCUGGAAAUGACAAUAGGACAGGAGGAUUUGUCAUAAAGACUUACUAUGGAGAACAUAUAUGUCAGAAGAAAUGGAAGUUAAGGUCACUGACAGCAAAAUUCCUGUGCAAGUAUUUCAUGGAUGAGUUCAGAGAUGACCAGAAGAUGUCACUAGAUCCGAAGCAUUGGGAGAAACAGAAUGCUUACAAAGUAUAUCCACCAGUUUUCACUAAACAGUUGGGAAGGCCAAAGAAAAACAGGAAGAAAACUCCAGAAGAGAAGAAGAACAAGAAUGGUGUUAGAUAUUUGGACAAAAAAGGUGUGACAAUGCACUACUCAAUUUGUGGCAGAGCUGACCACAACAGGAAGGGGCACUGCAGAUGUCAGGAAGCACUAAUUGAAGAAGGAGUAGAGCUGGUUGAUGAGAACUAUGAUGACCCAACAUUUCUUCAGAACAUAUUUCCAAACAGGCCAGAUCCUAGGUUGGAUCCUAGUGAGUCACCGACCAGUAUGGUUUUCAACAUGGCCAACAGGGAAAGAGCAAGAAGAGCUCCUCAAAGGGUCCAUGGCCCACUGCCUGAGCUGUCUUCAUUUGUUGCUACUGCUGGGGCUGAAAUACCACAACCCAGGGUUACUACAGAAAUGAAUGUUGCUAGGCAGACAAGGGCAAGAACUGAAGCUGACAUGGGAAGAGGAAAGAAAAGGAGAGGCAGGGGAGAGGGAAAUCCAAGUGCAAGAAGAGGAAGGGGAGCAAGUGCAGUCUCAGGUCUAGGAAGAGGUGCCAGUGCAGAUGCAGUGUCAGGAGAGGGAGCAAGUGCAGGUGCUGGGAGAGGGAGAGGAGCAAGUGCAGGUGCUGGGAGAGGGAGAGGGAGAGGAGCAAAUGCAGGUGCUGGGAGAGGGAGAGGAGCAAAUCCAGAAGCUGGGAGAGGGAGAGGAGCAAAUCCAGAAGCUGGGAGAGGGAGAGGAGCAAAUCUAGGAGGUGGGAGAGGGAGAGGAGGCAGUAAUGUGCAUGCAUGGAGAGGAGAAAAUUCAGAUGCAGGGAGAGGAAGAGGAGGCCAAGCAGGUGAGAGGGCAUGGUGGCUGAUGUUUGGAGAUGACAUUGCCAGUCAUAUUCCUCACCUUAAUGCUCCUCCUGAUGAUUUUCCUGCUGCCUGA
rnacentral:rRNA from 1 species